CCUCUUGCUCACCCUUGACUUGGAAAAACCAGUUUCUCUUUUAUUGUCUGUUGCUAAUCUCUAUUCUAAAAAUUCAGCUCAAUUCUCAACCAUACUCCAAACUCUCUCCUUUCCAGCUGCCUUUACUCUCUCUCCUUCAAUUCCACUUUCCUCUGCUUUCAUUUUUUUUUUUUUUUCAGACAGGGUCUCACUUUGUCACCCAGGCAGGAGUGCAGCGGCUCAAUCUUGGGCUCACUGCAGUCUCAACCUCCCAGAGGCGGGGUUUCACCAUGUUGCCCAGACUGGUCUUGAACUCCUGAGCUUAAGCAAUCCACCUGCCUCGGCCUCCCAAAGUAUUGGGAUUACAGGUGUGAGCCACCGCAUCCGGCCUCAUGUUCUUUUUCAUUAAAGAGAGAAAUCAACUAUUCAGGACCGGCCCCCACCUUUCCUCAGGAGUCAUUUCUGUUCUGCACAGGCCUGCUGAACUGGGUGCUUUAUAUAGGAAAGGACCAACCACCUCGAGCUCAGUUAUGGCACAAACAGUGGGACCUAGACAAAGGGAGAGGGUGACCAGCAUCCCAACUAGAUUUCAGUGGAGUGAAGUUCAGGAGGCAUGGAGCUGACGACCACGAGGCCUCGGCAGCCACCGCCGCUGCCGCCACCACCACCGCCGCCGCCGCCGCCGCCGCAGCAGCAAGAGUAACUCUGACUUAGGAAUAGAGACAGCCGGAGAGAAAUGUGAUCAAUGAAGGAGACAUGUGGAGUGUGCGUGCUUCUUCAGAGGGACUGGUGAUGGGCAGACUGGAAAAAGCACUGCAGAUGGGAACAUUAAUCUUUCUUUUCUAAAAUUGAUGCUAUGAAAAUUUGCGUUUUCUGUAACUUGUAAAAACUAAAAGUUGCUUGUCUACUGAAAA
rnacentral:lncRNA from 1 species